AGCAGCCGCGGUAAUUCCAGCUCCAAUAGCGUAUAUUAAAGUUGUUGCAGUUAAAAAGCUCGUAGUUGAAUUUCGGGGUCAGUAGGUUGGUCAUGCCUUUGGUAUGUACUGGUCUCACUGAUUCCUCCCUCUUGAAGAACUGUAAUGUCAUUAAUUUGGUGUUGCGGGGAAUCAGGACUGUUACUUUGAAAAAAUUAGAGUGUUUAAAGCAGGCUUACGCUUGAAUACAUUAGCAUGGAAUAAUGAAAUAGGACGUUUGAUCCUAUUUUGUUGGUUUCUAGGAUUGACGUAAUGAUUAAUAGGGAUAGUUGGGGGCAUUAGUAUUCAAUUGUCAGAGGUGAAAUUCUUGGAUUUAUUGAAGACUAACUACUGCGAAAGCAUUUGCCAAGGAUGUUUUCAUUAAUCAAGAACGAAAGUUAGGGGAUCGAAGACGAUCAGAUACCGUCGUAGUCUUAACCAUAAACUAUGCCGACUAGGGAUCGGAUGAUGUUAAUUUUUAAUGACUCAUUCGGCGCCUUAC
rnacentral:rRNA from 1 species